rnacentral:lncRNA from 1 species
GGCCGGGGCAGCUCCCACUCCUCUCUCCUGGGCAGGAUUUGCUCUCCCGCCUCUAUGGGAACAUCGAUUUCUGGCUCGGGCUGCGCAGACGGGGCGAGCGCCUGCACUGGGGGGACGGCAGCAGCUACAGCUCCUGGGUUCCUGUCCUCGGCAGUUCCCAGUGUGUGUACCUGGCUGACGAUAAAUUCAGGAAUGGGAACUGCUCCAAUGAGGGGCCAUAUCUCUGCAGCAAGGCCCAAGCUCCCCUGUAACAGGGGCUGCGCAAAGGACCUUCUCCACACUGAGCAGUUCCAGCUUCACCUCUGAGCCCGGCACAGCGCUGUCCUUCCUCAGCUGCGCCCUGUGUCUUGCACUUCCUCUCAGGGUCACCUCAGUGCCUCUUCAUCCCCAGUGCCAACACUGGGCUGGGGCUGCAAAGGAAAAGUCUCUGCAAUCCAUCCUGCCACCGAUGCUGCCUGCAGUGAGUGCAUUGCCCUCAUAUGUGGGUAACACGGCUCUCUGAUUAAAAUGUUUAUGGAAGUUUAUUAGGGGAUAAAAUCCCACAUUUGAGUGCUUGCCUCUUUGCACACAGUUAACUUCAACUGUCAUCUGUAUAUACUGUUUCGUUACAGACCUUUAUGCAUAUUUAUGACAGUUUAUACAUGUUGAAACAUUCAUUUGAGUUAACAUGUUCUUUUGCUUGGUUUGAACCUUUGACUUGUCUUCGUUCCUCCUUAUUGAUUAAAUGAAUCUAUUUUAGUUUUUCUUGUGUUUCUAUUGUAUUUUCACUCCCUGAUAACAAGGGUCCAUACAAUCUUUUUUUUUUUGGUUCUCUGGUUUCCCUUUCUAUGAUCUUGUCUUUUAGAUAAGACAGUUCCCAAAGUUGGGAAGUCAAUUUUUUACACCAUUUGCUGCAUUAAUUACAUGAAAAAGUAAUUUCAACAUUUCACAGUCUCUAUUUAGCUAUGGUCUAAGAUAGAAUACAUGACACCACUAUUUAUAAAAGCUAUAGGGUGCAUAGAUAAACUGACAGAUUAUACUAUAUCAAAAUCAGGAAUUACAAAUUAGACUGUAUCAGGAUUUUGUGAUCAAUAGUAACCUGCAACACAAAAUUUAGUACAUAAAUGUGAAACCUAUACCUAUAUUUCUUAUUUGUAACAUCACACAACAAACUCAAUUGGGAAAUUCUAAUCACUCUGGGCUCUUGGAAAUCAUCAUGAAGUGAGUGGCCUGAAGGUGACAAUUUUGGACUGUCCUUGGAAGAUGUGAGGAAGGACCUUCACUUUUAAAAUUUUAAAGGUUCAUUAAAUCUUAACAAAAAACUACA